AUUCACGCUGGCGGCGUGCCUAACACAUGCAAGUCGAGCGGCAGCGAGUUUUACACUGAAUUCUGGAAGCUUCUAGUUGAAAGAGAAGAUUUAUUCAAGAAUUUUGUGUAAAAUGUCGGCGAGCGGCGGACGGCUGAGUAACGCGUGGGAACGUACCCCAAAGUGAGGGAUAACGCAUCGAAAGGUGUGCUAAUACCGCAUAUGGUCUUCGGAUUAAAGCCUUCGGGCGCUUUGGGAACGGCCUGCGUAAGAUUAGAUAGUUGGUGGGGUAAUGGCCUACCAAGUCGACGAUCUUUAACUGGUUUGAGAGGAUGAUCAGUCAGACUGGAACUGAGACACGGUCCAGACUCCUACGGGAGGCAGCAGUGAGGAAUCUUCCACAAUGGGCGAAAGCCUGAUGGAGCAACGCCGCGUGCAGGAUGAAGGCCUUCGGGUUGUAAACUGCUUUUAUAGGUGAGGAUUAUGACAGUAACUUAUGAAUAAGGAUCGGCUAACUACGUG
rnacentral:rRNA from 1 species